GAACGCUGACAGAAUGCUUAACACAUGCAAGUCUUUGGCAAAUCUGUGCUUGCACAGCCUAGCCAAGGCGGACGGGUGAGUAACGCGUAAAGAACUUGCCCUGCAGAUAGGGAUAACAGACGGAAACGACUGAUAACACCUGAUACAAUUGCCGGCACGCAUGUGCCUGGCAAUGAAAAGAGAUGCUGCAGGAGAGCUUUGCGUCCUAUUAGCUUGUUGGUGAGGUAACGGCUCACCAAGGCGAUGAUAGGUAGCCGGCCUGAGAGGGUGAACGGCCACAAGGGGACUGAGAUACGGCCCUUACUCCUACGGGAGGCAGCAGUGGGGAAUAUUGGACAAUGGGGGCAACCCUGAUCCAGCAAUUCUGUGUGCACGAAGAAGGUUUUCGGAUUGUAAAGUGCUUUCAGCAGGGAAGAAGAAAGUGACGGUACCUGCAGAAGAAGCGACGGCUAAAUACGUGCCAGCAGCCGCGGUAAUACGUAUGUCGCAAGCGUUAUCCGGAA
rnacentral:rRNA from 1 species